rnacentral:rRNA from 1 species
GACGAACGCUGGCGGCGUGCCUAAUAUAUGCAAGUAGAACGCUGAAGCUUGGUGCUUGCACCGAGCGGAUGAGUUGCGAACGGGUGAGUAACGCGUAGGUAACCUGCCUGGUAGCGGGGGAUAACUAUUGGAAACGAUAGCUAAUACCGCAUAAGAGUAGAUGUUGCAUGACAUUUGCUUAAAAGGUGCAAUUGCAUCACUACCAGAUGGACCUGCGUUGCAUUAGCUAGUUGGUGAGGUAACGGCUCACCAAGGCAACGAUACAUAGCCGACCUGAGAGGGGGAUCGGCCACACUGGGACUGGGACACGGCCCAGAAUCCUACGGGAGGCAGCAGUAGGGAAUCUUCGGCAAUGGACGGAAGUCUGACCGGGCAACGCCGCGUGGGUGAAGAAGGUUUUCGGAUCGUAAAGCUCUGUUGUAAGGGAAGAACGAGUGUGAGAGUGGAAAGUUCACACUGUGACGGUAGCUUACCAGAAAGGGACGGCUAACUACGUG